AGCUGCUGGCAGUGGAGGACAGUGGAGGCUAAACCAAAUCAGCAAAUAUGACCAUCUGUCAUUUAUCUAUAAGCAAAUAUUCAAUAUGUGGCCAUGAAGAGGCUGGAUGCAAGGAUGCAUGGGACACCAGGGCAGGCAGACCCUGUGGUGACGACCGCCAUCAUCGGCUGACGGGACCUGAAGGAAGGCCAACGGCAGUAAGACACGAGUAUGAAUUAUUUCCAAGUCUUGAGUUCUAUACCUCAGGUUACCGUUUAUAUUGGAGCCAUCUAAGAGGAUCACCAAAAGCCAACUGAGAGUAAUCUGACUGUCCAGUAUUAACAAGAAAUAUAUAACACACAAAAGUUGUGCCACAUAAUUAGUAUUAUUAAGUGUCAUUUGGUGCUGGAGUACAAUGAAGAUAUUCUUGCUCUUGUUACCAGAUGUGAGGGUAUCACUGCUAUGGACACUUCGGUAGCUACGGGAGAUCCAUUCAGGUGACAUGUAUCCUGACCCAGCAGUGCCCCGUUCAAACUUAGUUUAGCCAUCGUUGAAAAGAGGUGUCCAGUAUUUACAAAAUGACCAGGCGCAGCGCUGUGGGAACAAACAACACGAUACCACAACGCAUUUUCUCAGUGAUGUUGUUUUCCAUGCUUUCUGUGUCAUCCGAAUUCUCCGAAAA